rnacentral:tRNA from 1 species
GGGCUGUAGCUCAGUUGGGAGAGCGCUUGAAUGGCAUUCAAGAGGUCGUCGGUUCGAUCCCGAUCAGCUCCACCAA